CAUUGUCUUAUUUAUAAUUAAAAGCAUGGGCGUACCGGAAGGAAAAAAUUAGGGGGGCGGAAAGAAAAUUGCCCGACUUUUCGUAAAAUUGCCCGACUUUUCGUGAUUUUGCCCGACUAGUACCAAAAAAUUUUUCCCGGAAAAUUUUUUUUGGCGACCCCCCCCCCGUCGCCAAAAAAAUUUCGGUCAGUGUACCAUUUUAGGGGUCAAAAAAAUUUUCCGGACGUACCAAAUUUUUCGCAGAAUCACAUUAAUUUUCCCAAAAAAUACAUUUGCCCCAAAAUUGACUAAAUUUUUGAAAAAAAUUACAGAAUUUGUCCGAUUUUUUUUUAUAACAACCCAAAAUUGCCCGACUAUUAAUCGAAUAUUGCCCGACUGCCCAAAAAACUGGGGGGGCGGCCGCCCCCCCCGCCCCCCCGCCCGGUACGCCUAUGAUUAAAAGGUUACUUGUAUCUAUAAAUUUUCCGCCAUAUUAAAAAUACUGAAAUCUGCUAGGCGUUCUGAAGCACCUUGAGCGGUGACGUCACACCAAGGUCCUAGUCUCGUACUACCUCCAUUUUUUUCUCGCGCUUGCUUCAGAACGACUGGGACUAGGCUGGUAUAGAUGCAUGAAUCUUAAAAUAAAGUAUAAACGUGCUGACGUCUUGACAAACAAUAGCAGUUUAUGAUUC